rnacentral:lncRNA from 1 species
GUAAUCGCAGAGUCUUACUGGAAACUGACAAACGUCAUUUUGGCUUAUGGUGCGAUGCACCACGGGCUUAAAUGAUGGUGUUUUAUGAUUGAAACUUUAAAUUUCCAUAACUCCUUACCCGGUAAUCAAAUUUAGGUAAAUUUUGUAUCGAUAGAAAGUUUAUUCAAUUUUCCACACAAAAGAAAGUGAAAAUAAUAAAAAUUCCACAUACAUAAAAGUUUAUUCAUGUUUAAAAC